UUGAACGCUGGCGGAAUGCUUUACACAUGCAAGUCGAGCGGCAGCGCGGGGCAACCUGGCGGCGAGCGGCGAACGGGUGAGUAAUGCAUCGGAACAUGUCCAUGUCGUGGGGGAUAGCCCGGCGAAAGCCGGAUUAAUACCGCAUACGCCCGAGAGGGGAAAGUGGGGGACCGCAAGGCCUCACGCGAUUGGGUUGGCCGAUGUCCGAUUAGCUUGUUGGUGAGGUAAAGGCUUACCAAGGCGAUGAUCGGUAGCUGGUCUGAGAGGAUGAUCAGCCACACUGGGACUGAGACACGGCCCAGACUCCUACGGGAGGCAGCAGUGGGGAAUUUUGGACAAUGGGGGCAACCCUGAUCCAGCCAUUCCGCGUGAGUGAAGAAGGCCUUCGGGUUGUAAAGCUCUUUCGGCCGGGAAGAAAUCGUGGUCUCUAACAUAGGCCAUGGAUGACGGUACCGGACUAAGAAGCACCGGCUAACUACGU
rnacentral:rRNA from 1 species